GACGAACGCUGGCGGCGUGCUUAACACAUGCAAGUCGAACGGAAAGGCCCCUUUGGGGGUCCUCGAGUGGCGCACGGGUGCGUAACACGUGAGUAACCUGCCCUUGACUUCGGGAUAACUUCAGGAAACUGGGGCUAAUACCGGAUAGGAAUCCUUGCUGCAUGGUGGGGGUUGGAAAGCUUCGGCGGUUUUGGAUGGACUCGCGGCUUAUCAGCUUGUUGGUGGGGUAGUGGCUUACCAAGGCUUUGACGGGUAGCCGGCCUGAGAGGGCGACCGGCCACAUUGGGACUGAGAUACGGCCCAGACGCCUACGGGAGGCAGCAGUGGGGAAUAUUGCACAAUGGGCGGAAGCCUGAUGCAGCAACGCCGCGUGCGGGAUGACGGCCUUCGGGUUGUAAACCGCGUUCAGCAGGGGCGAAGCUUGUGGUGACGGUACCUGCAGAAGAAGCACCGGCUAACUACGUG
rnacentral:rRNA from 1 species